rnacentral:rRNA from 1 species
ACCCGCUGAAUUUAAGCAUAUCAAUAAGCGGAGGAAAAGAAACCAACAGGGAUUGCUCUAGUAACGGCGAGUGAAGCAGCAAUAGCUCAAAUUUGAAAUCUGGCGUCUUCGACGUCCGAGUUGUAAUUUGUAGAGGAUGCUUCUGAGUAACCACCGACCUAAGUUCCUUGGAACAGGACGUCAUAGAGGGUGAGAAUCCCGUAUGCGGUCGGAAAGGUGCUCUAUACGUAGCUCCUUCGACGAGUCGAGUUGUUUGGGAAUGCAGCUCUAAAUGGGAGGUAAAUUUCUUCUAAAGCUAAAUAUUGGCCAGAGACCGAUAGCGCACAAGUAGAGUGAUCGAAAGAUGAAAAGCACUUUGGAAAGAGAGUUAAAAAGCACGUGAAGUUGUUAAAAGGGAAGGGAUUGCAACCAGACUUGCUCGCGGUGUUCCGCCGGUCUUCUGACCGGUCUACUCGCCGCGUUGCAGGCCAGCAUCGUCUGGUGCCGCUGGAUAAGACUUGAGGAAUGUAGCUCCUUCGGGAGUGUUAUAGCCUCUUGUGAUGCAGCGAGCGCCGGGCGAGGUCCGCGCUUCGGCUAGGAUGCUGGCGUAAUGGUCGUAAUCCGCCCGUCUUGAAACCCGGACCAAGGAG